GAAGAGGCGGGCCAUCCCACAUGGAGAGGAAGGCGGGAGAGGAGAACGCUCCUGCGUGCUACGGGUCCAUGAAUAGAGAAGAAAUCUGUCUGGAAUUAAUUACCCCAGGGACCACAUCUGGACCUGAUACAGAUGGUGUUUUGCAUUUCUGAGCUGAUGAUAUUUCGAUAAGAUUUCUUUGAAGUGAUGCCAUGACAGGAAGAGACUUCUGUGAAUCUUUUAGAGUAAAAUACAUAUUUUACAUGGGAA
rnacentral:lncRNA from 1 species